GUACCAUAACCGACACAGGUGGGUAGGUAGAGUAUACUAAGGGGCGCGAGAUAACUCUCUCUAAGGAACUCGGCAAAAUGACUCCGUAACUUCGGGAGAAGGAGUGCCUUAUUUAUAAGGUUGCAAUAACAAGAUCCAAGCAACUGUUUACCAAAAACACGGGUCUCCGCUAAGUCGUAAGACGAUGUAUGGGGGCUGACGCCUGCCCAGUGCCAGAAGGUUAAAGAAGUUGGUUAGCCUAGCGAAGCUGAUGACUGAAGCCCUGGUGAACGGCGGCCGUAACGAUAACGGUCCUAAGGUAGCGAAAUUCCUUGUCGGGUAAGUUCCGACCCGCACGAAAGGCGUAAUGAUUUGGAUACUGUCUCGGAGAGGGGCUCGGUGAAAUAGACUUGUCUGUGAAGAUGCGGACUACCUGCACCUGGACAGAAAGACCCUAUGAAGCUUUACUGUAACUUGAGAUUGAAAUUGGACUUUAUUUGCGCAGCAUAGGUGGGAGACGUUGAGAGUAUUCUUGCGGGAAUAUUGGAGUCAUCAGUGAGAUACCACUCUUGUAAUGUUAGAUUUCUAACUUUGUAUCAUUAUCUGGUCAAAGGACAGUUUCAGGCGGGCAGUUUGACUGGGGCGGUCGCCUCCCAAACGGUAACGGAGGCGCACAAAGGUUUCCUCUGAACGUGUAGAAAUCGUAUCUAGAGUGUAAAGGCAUAAGGAAGCUUGACUGUGAGACCUACAAGUCGAGCAGGGACGAAAGUCGGUCUUAGUGAUCUGACGGUGCUGAGUGGAAAGGCCGUCACUCAACGGAUAAAAGUUACUCUAGGAUAACAGGCUGAUCUCCCCCAAGAGUUCACAUCGACGGGGAGGUUUGGCACCUCGAUGUCGGCUCAUCGCAUCCUGGGGCGGUAGUACGUCCCAAGGGUUGGGCUGUUCGCCCAUGAAGGCGGUACGCGAGCUGGGUUCAGAACGUCGUGAGGCAGUUCGGUCCAUAUCCGGUGUAGGCGUUAGAAUAUUGAGAGGAGCCUUCUUUAGUACGAGAGGACCGAGAAGGACAUACCUCUGGUGUACCAGUUAUCGUGCCAACGGUAAACGCUGGGUAGCUAUGUAUGGAGUGGAUAACCGCUGAAAGCAUCUAAGUGGGAAGCCCACCUCAAGAUAAGUAUUCUCAUCACGUAAGUGAGUAAGGUCACGGUAAGACUAACCGUUUAAUAGGCAUUAAGUGUAAAUGUAGUAAUAUAUGAGCUGAGAUGUGCUAACAGACCGAGGACUUG
rnacentral:rRNA from 1 species